rnacentral:rRNA from 1 species
UUCUUACAAUUGCGAUGGGGGGACGGAGAAGGCUAGGUGGGCCUGGCGACGGUUGUCCAGGUUCAAGUGCGUAGGCUGAAGAGUUAGGUAAAUCCGGCUCUUUCUAAGGCUGAGACACGACGUCGAGCACCUACGGGUGUGAAGUCAUUGAUGCCAUGCUUCCAGGAAAAGCCUCUAAGCUUCAGAUUGUAAGGAAUCGUACCCCAAACCGACA